rnacentral:rRNA from 1 species
UGCAAGUCGUACGCUUCUUUUUCCACCGGAGCUUGCUCCACCGGAAAAAGAAGAGUGGCGAACGGGUGAGUAACACGUGGGUAACCUGCCCAUCAGAAGGGGAUAACACUUGGAAACAGGUGCUAAUACCGUAUAACAAUCGAAACCGCAUGGUUUUGAUUUGAAAGGCGCUUUCGGGUGUCGCUGAUGGAUGGACCCGCGGUGCAUUAGCUAGUUGGUGAGGUAACGGCUCACCAAGGCCACGAUGCAUAGCCGACCUGAGAGGGUGAUCGGCCACAUUGGGACUGAGACACGGCCCAAACUCCUACGGGAGGCAGCAGUAGGGAAUCUUCGGCAAUGGACGAAAGUCUGACCGAGCAACGCCGCGUGAGUGAAGAAGGUUUUCGGAUCGUAAAACUCUGUUGUUAGAGAAGAACAAGGAUGAGAGUAACUGUUCAUCCCUUGACGGUAUCUAACCAGAAAGCCACGGCUAACUACGUGCCAGCAGCCGCGGUAAUACGUAGGUGGCAAGCGUUGUCCGGAUUUAUUGGGCGUAAAGCGAGCGCAGGCGGUUUCUUAAGUCUGAUGUGAAAGCCCCCGGCUCAACCGGGGAGGGUCAUUGGAAACUGGGAGACUUGAGUGCAGAAGAGGAGAGUGGAAUUCCAUGUGUAGCGGUGAAAUGCGUAGAUAUAUGGAGGAACACCAGU